rnacentral:lncRNA from 1 species
CUUUAAACUGAAGAACUUGAUUGGCUUGUACACAUUGGGUUUUUUUGUGGUAUAGUUCAAUUGCUGUUGCUUGUAAAUUGUUUUAUAAACCAGUACAGCGAAGUAGCGAAAUUUCGGGCCGUCUUUCACAACAAAUAACAUCACAAUAACUGCACAUCUUUUUCUCUUUAAUACAGAAUCGUUCUCCCCGUCCAUUGAGUUAUAAUUUCCAAAACAAACGAGUCGCUAUAACGUAAAAAAAGCGGGUAUUUGUGAACAAAAAUGCCUUUUAUGGAUGUAACACGAGGUAACCGACGCCAUCUUGUCUUCUCCAAAC